CGUGUUGUGGUCAAAACAAGACUGUUUUUAGUCCCAUUUCAGUCACUUAGCUCCAAAACCCUCGGCAAGGUCCAGAUUAAGUAUAAAGGUGAAGGUGACAGAAAAUAACAGGAAAAGUAGCGAUACCCCUUAAACAAAACUAGUACAUGUCUGGAAUCCGACGUCUUUCGGACGUCCCGAAGAAGUCGGUUUUGGGAGCUCUUCGGGACCUCCCUAAACGUACUACAAAUGAAGCUCUCUCGUACGUCGCGCGGGGACCUAGUGUGUGGUGCCAGAGUUCGCCGCCAGAGCGCGCCCUGGUCGCUCGUCCCAAAGUAGUCGGUUCUUGGAGCACUUCGGGACGUCCGAAACGGUAGGUCUAUGUGAGGUCUUUGGGAGGUCCCCCACCACACCCGUCGCAGCGUCCUGCGGCCAUGUAGUUCCGAGUGUGUCCGCUAGAGCGCGCCUCGGGCCCACGCGAUGCUCACCUGUUGUGCAGUGACAGUCGGCGCACUUUGGCGUGCUUUGUGCUUGUGGCGUCGGAUCCUUACUUCUAUUUAUUUUUCUGUUAACUAUAGUAAAUUCAUUUCUCCAAAGAAAAGAAACCACGCACGAAGAUGUUCAGUUCUCAGGUGCACCAAUAAGAAGAAUACUUCAAAGCCUGGUGCAGGCUUAUUUCGUGUUUCAAUCCAAAUCAGAAAGUGCCGGUGUAAGUUAACCUACAAUAUUCUGUUACUUUGAUACUCUUAUUGUCAAAGUGUUUAUUUUGUUCGUCAUCUGAUUUUAUGCUUGAGAAAUAGGCUCUUUGCGGAAACCUUGACCCACUGGAGUUGCCCAAGAUUCUGGAACGAUAACCUGCACCACUAUGCAAUUACAUGUGGAACAAGAACUGACUCCUGUGCUUCAGUGUCAAAUUAAGUGAAUUUCCUGCGACAGAGCAAAUCCAACUGAGAUUCCUCUUUUAAAUAUUUUGUUUUUGAGUCCUGUCCACCAUUUUUGUCUCCAUAUUUUCUGUUGUUCGUGACAAGUCCUAUCGUUUGAUUUUUAAUUUAAAAAGGUCAGUGAAUAAAUACAUUUUUCCUAACAGUU